UACGUAGGGGCUAGCGUUAUCCGGAAUUACUGGGCGUAAAGGGUGCGUAGGUGGUUUCUUAAGUCAGAGGUGAAAGGCUACGGCUCAACCGUAGUAAGCCUUUGAAACUGAGAAACUUGAGUGCAGGAGAGGAGAGUAGAAUUCCUAGUGUAGCGGUGAAAUGCGUAGAUAUUAGGAGGAAUACCAGUUGCGAAGGCGGCUCUCUGGACUGUAACUGACACUGAGGCACGAAAGCGUGGGGAGCAAACAGGAUUAGAUACCCGGGUAGUCUCUGAG
rnacentral:rRNA from 1 species